GAUGAAGAACGCAGCGAAAUGCGAUAAGUAGUGUGAAUUGCAGAAUUCAGUGAAUCAUCGAAUCUUUGAACGCACAUUGCGCUCGCCAGUAUUCUGGCGAGCAUGCCUGUUCGAGCGUCAUUUCAACCAUCAAGCUCUGCUUGCGUUGGGGAUCCGCGGCUGCCCGCGGUCCCUCAAAAACAGUGGCGGGCUCGCUAGUCACACCGAGCGUAGUAACUCUACAUCGUUCUGGUCGUGCGGCGGGUUCUUGCCGUAAAACCCCCCAAUUUCUAAGGUUGACCUCGGAUCAGGUAGGAAUACCCGCUGAACUUAAGCAUAUCAAUAAGCGGAGGA
rnacentral:misc_RNA from 1 species